rnacentral:rRNA from 1 species
AGUAACUGCGAGUGAAGCGGGAAAAGCUCAAAUUUAAAAUCUGGUGGCCUCUGGUCGUCCGAGUUGUAAUUUAGAGAAGCGUCUUCCGCGCUGGACCGUGCACAAGUCUCCUGGAAUGGAGCGUCAUAGAGGGUGAGAAUCCUGUCUUUGGCACGGACGCACCAGGGCUUUUGUGAUGCGCUCUCGAAGAGUCGAGUUGUUUGGGAAUGCAGCUCAAAAUGGGUGGUGAACUCCAUCUAAAGCUAAAUAUUGGCGAGAGACCGAUAGCGAACAAGUACCGUGAGGGAAAGAUGAAAAGCACUUUGGAAAGAGAGUGAAACAGUACGUGAAAUUGUUGAAAGGGAAACGCUUGAAGUCAGUCGCGUCGACCGAGACUCAGCCUUGCCUUGGCUCGGUGUAUUUCUCGGCCGACGGGUCAGCAUCAAUUUUGCCCCUCGGAUAAUGGCGAGAGAAAGGUGGCACCCUCACCGGUGUGUUAUAGUCUCCCGUCGGAUGCGAGGGUCGGG